rnacentral:rRNA from 1 species
GAUGAACGCUGGCGGCGUGCCUAAUACAUGCAAGUCGAGCGAACAGACGAGGAGCUUGCUCCUCUGACGUUAGCGGCGGACGGGUGAGUAACACGUGGAUAACCUACCUAUAAGACUGGGAUAACUUCGGGAAACCGGAGCUAAUACCGGAUAAUAUAUUGAACCGCAUGGUUCAAUAGUGAAAGACGGCUUUGCUGUCACUUAUAGAUGGAUCCGCGCCGCAUUAGCUAGUUGGUAAGGUAACGGCUUACCAAGGCAACGAUGCGUAGCCGACCUGAGAGGGUGAUCGGCCACACUGGAACUGAGACACGGUCCAGAGUCCUACGGGAGGCAGCAGUAGGGAAUCUUCCGCAAUGGGCGAAAGCCUGACGGAGCAACGCCGCGUGAGUGAUGAAGGUCUUCGGAUCGUAAAACUCUGUUAUUAGGGAAGAACAAAUGUGUAAGUAACUAUGCACGUCUUGACGGUACCUAAUCAGAAAGCCACGGCUAACUACGUG